rnacentral:rRNA from 1 species
UGAGGAAUAUUGGUCAAUGGGCGCAAGCCUGAAUCAGCCAUCCCGCGUGCAGGAAGACGGCCCUAUGGGUUGUAAACUGCUUUUCCAGGGGGAGAAACUUGCGCACGUGUUGCGCAAUUGACGGUACCCUGGGAAUAAGCAUCGGCUAACUCCGUGCCAGCAGCCGCGGUAAUACGGAGGAUGCGAGCGCUAUCCGGAUUCAUUGGGUUUAAAGGGUGCGUAGGCGGACUAUUAAGUCAGUGGUGAACUCCUGCAGCUUAACUGCAGAACUGUCAUUGAUACUGAUAGCCUUGAGUUUGGUUAAGGUAGGCAGAAUGUGUAAUGUAGCGGUGAAAUGCUUAGAUAUUACACCUAACACCAAUUGCGUAGGCAGCUUACUGAGCCGACACUGACGCUGAGGCACGAAAGCGUGGGGAUCGAACAG